rnacentral:rRNA from 1 species
GAUGAACGCUAGCGGCAGGCUUAACACAUGCAAGUCGAGGGGCAGCGCGGGAUAGCCAUCUCCUGGCGGCGACCGGCGGAAGGGUGCGUAACGCGUGAGCGACAUGCCCGUUGCCCGGGGACAACCGGUGGAAACGCCGACUAAUCCCCGAUGGGAUACGAUGCUUCAUGGCAUUGUAUUGAAAGUUACGGCGGCGACGGAUUGGCUCGCGUCCGAUUAGCUGGUUGGCGGGGUAACGGCCCACCAAGGCUGCGAUCGGUAGGGGUUCUGAGAGGAAGGCCCCCCACAAUGGGACGGAGAAACGGCCCAUACUCCUACGGGAGGAAGCAGUGAGGAAUAUUGGUCAAUGGGCGGAAGCCUGAACCAGCCAUGCCGCGUGCGGGAAAGAGGCCCUAUGGGCUGUGAACCGCUUUUGCCUGGGGGCAAUAAGGGCGUCGCGCACGUCCGAUGAGAGUACCAGGCGAAUAAGCAUCGGCUAACUCCGUG